rnacentral:rRNA from 1 species
UACGGAGGGGGCUAGCGUUGUUCGGAAUUACUGGGCGUAAAGCGCACGUAGGCGGCUUGGUAAGUUAGAGGUGAAAGCCUGGGGCUCAGCUCCAGAAUUGCCUUUAAGACUGCCGAGCUAGCAGGUGAGAGAGGUGAGUGGAAUUCCGAGUGUAGAGGUGAAAUUCGUAGAUAUUCGGAAGAACACCAGUGGCGAAGGCGGCUCACUGGCUCAUACUGGACGCUGAGGUGCGAAAGCGUGGGGAGCAAACAGG